rnacentral:tRNA from 1 species
ACCGAAAUAGCUCAGUUGGGAGAGCGUUAGACUAUAGAUCGAAAAGUCCCUGGUUCGAUCCGGGGCUCCGGCA